rnacentral:rRNA from 1 species
GCCGCCCUCUUUCUUCGUGCUUAACACAUGCAAGUCGAACGGAAAGGCCCUGCUUUUGUGGGGUGCUCGAGUGGCGAACGGGUGAGUAACACGUGAGUAACCUGCCCUUGACUUUGGGAUAACUUCAGGAAACUGGGGCUAAUACCGGAUAGGAGCUCCUGCUGCAUGGUGGGGGUUGGAAAGUUUCGGCGGUUGGGGAUGGACUCGCGGCUUAUCAGCUUGUUGGUGGGGUAGUGGCUUACCAAGGCUUUGACGGGUAGCCGGCCUGAGAGGGUGACCGGCCACAUUGGGACUGAGAUACGGCCCAGACUCCUACGGGAGGCAGCAGUGGGGAAUAUUGCACAAUGGGCGGAAGCCUGAUGCAGCAACGCCGCGUGCGGGAUGACGGCCUUCGGGUUGUAAACCGCUUUCGCCUGUGACGAAGCGUGAGUGACGGUAAUGGGUAAAGAAGCACCGGCUAACUACGU